GCCUUCGGGCUUAGUGGCGCACGGGUGAGUAACGCGUGGGAACGUACCCCUGGGUGCGGAACAACAGUUGGAAACGACUGCUAAUACCGCAUAAUGACUCCGGUCCAAAGAUUUAUCGCCCAGGGAUCGGCCCGCGUCUGAUUAGCUAGUUGGUGAGGUAACGGCUCACCAAGGCGACGAUCAGUGGCUGGUCUGAGAGGAUGAUCAGCCACACUGGAACUGAGACACGGUCCAGACUCCUACGGGAGGCAGCAGUGAGGAAUAUUAGACAAUGGGCGCAAGCCUGAUCUAGCCAUGCCGCGUGAGUGAAGAAGGCCCUAGGGUUGUAAAGCUCUUUUAGAUGUGAAGAUGAUGACGGUAGCAUCAGAAAAAGCUCCGGCUAACUUCGUGCCAGCAGCCGCGGUAAUACGAAGGGAGCGAGCGUUGUUCGGAAUCACUGGGCGUAAAGCGUGCGUAGGCGGAUAAGAAAGUCAGAAGUGAAAGCCCAGGGCUCAACCUUGGAAUUGCUUUUGAAACUCCUUGUCUAGAGUUUGGUAGAGGAUAACGGAAUUCCGAGUGUAGAGGUGAAAUUCGCAGAUAUUCGGAGGAACACCAGUUGCGAAGGCGGUUAUCUGGGCCAAUACUGACGCUGAGGUACGAAAGCAUGGGGAGCAAACAGGAUUAGAUACCCUGGUAGUCCAUGCCGUAAACGAUGUAUGCUAGUUGUCGGGAGUCUUAGACUUUCGGUGACGCAGCUAACGCAUUAAGCAUACCGCCUGGGGAGUACGGUCGCAAGAUUAAAACUCAAAGGAAUUGACGGGGACCCGCACAAGCGGUGGGGCAUGUUGUUUAAUUCGACGCAACGCGAAGAACCUUACCCACACUUGACAUCCUUCUUGGGGCUUUCAGAGAUGAAGGCUUUCGGUUCGGCCGGGGAAGUGACAGGUGCUGCAUGGCUGUCGUCAGCUCGUGUCGUGAGAUGUUAGGUUAAGUCCUGCAACGAGCGCAACCCUCAUCGUCUGUUGCCAUCAUUUAGUUGGGCACUCUGACGAGACUGCCGGUGAUAAGCCGGAGGAAGGUGGGGACGACGUCAAGUCAUCAUGGCCCUUACGUGUGGGGCUACAAACGUGCUACAAUGGCUGUGACAGUGGGCGGCAACCUCGCGAGAGGAAGCUAAUCCCAAAAAGCAGUCUCAGUUCGGAUUGUUCUCUGCAACUCGAGAGCAUGAAGUCGGAAUCGCUAGUAAUCGUGGAUCAGCAUGCCACGGUGAAUACGUUCCCGGGUCUUGUACACACCGCCCGUCACAUCAUGGGAGUUGGUUCUGCCCGAAGAUGGUGCGCUAACCUCUAGGA
rnacentral:rRNA from 1 species